CCUAGCUGUUCACAAAUCACUGUAAUCCACGGCCUCUCGUGGCUCAUUGCUCAAAUACUCUAGUCUAACCCAGUGCUCCUUCAUUUCCCACAAUUAGAGUUCUAAUUGGCAUCACAGCCAAAACAUAAUUUCCUAAAACAAAUCAGGUAAAAGUAUGCUAUUUGAAAUAGUACUCUGGAUAACAAGGAAUUGGUCUUGCAGGACUAUGUUAAGCCUUUGAGGACUAUUUGAAUGUUGGGAUAAGGAGAGUGACGUUUGGUUAUGCAAAAUCUCUCCAAACACUGUUCAGUUGAGUAACGGUUGAUACAGCCUUGGCUUUGGUUCACACACCUGCUCGUGUACUACGCUUUCCACAACAGUUACACUGCUCAAGCACAGAGGGUACCUGCCUCAAAUCAAACAAGAGACACAAAUAGAACUCACGGAACACGCUGUGCUUGACGUC
ensembl:lncRNA